GUGCCCGCUCGGGCAGCACAUACACUAAAAUUGGAACAAUACAGAGAUUAGCGUGGCCUCUGCGCAAGUAUGGCAUGCAAGUUCGUGAAGCGGUCCAUAGUAAA
ensembl:snRNA U6 U6 spliceosomal RNA